rnacentral:rRNA from 1 species
GAUGAACGCUGGCGGCGUGCCUAAUACAUGCAAGUCGAGCGAACGGACGAGAAGCUUGCUUCUCUGAUGUUAGCGGCGGACGGGUGAGUAACACGUGGAUAACCUACCUAUAAGACUGGGAUAACUUCGGGAAACCGGAGCUAAUACCGGAUGAUAUUUUGAACCGCAUGGUUCAAAAGUGAAAGACGGUCUUGCUGUCACUUAUAGAUAGAUCCGCGCUGCAUUAGCUAGUUGGUAAGGUAACGGCUUACCAAGGCAACGAUGCAUAGCCGACCUGAGAGGGUGAUCGGCCACACUGGAACUGAGACACGGUCCAGACUCCUACGGGAGGCAGCAGUAGGGAAUCUUCCGCAAUGGGCGAAAGCCUGACGGAGCAACGCCGCGUGAGUGAUGAAGGUCUUCGGAUCGUAAAACUCUGUUAUUAGGGAAGAACAUAUGUGGAAGUAACUGUGCACAUCUUGACGGUACCUAAUCAGAAAGCCACGGCUAACUACGUG